AACCUUAUGGACCUGCGGGCGUAUACCUGCGGAAGGAUCAUUAUCGAGUUGCAAAACUCCAACCCUUUGUGAACAUACCUCAGUCGUUGCUUCGGCGGUGGACGGCCUGUUUUUCGGAACGGCCGGAAGCCGCCGGAGGUUCCAAACUCGUAUUUUUUAGUGUAUCUCUGAGCCUGAAAACAAAUAAUCAAAACUUUUAACAAUGGAUCU
rnacentral:misc_RNA from 1 species